UCCCUGAAGCUCCCUCAAAGGAUGUGCAAG
rnacentral:piRNA from 1 species